UACGUAGGGUGCGAGCGUUGUCCGGAAUUACUGGGCGUAAAGAGCUCGUAGGUGGUUUGUCGCGUUGUCCGUGAAAACUCACAACUCAAUUGUGGGCGUGCGGGCGAUACGGGCAGACUGGAGUACUGCAGGGGAGACUGGAAUUCCUGGUGUAGCGGUGGAAUGCGUAGAUAUCGAGAGGAACACCUGCGGCGAAGGCGGGUUGCUGGGCCGACACUGACGCUGGAUGCGCGAAAGCCCAGGGGAGCGAACGGG
rnacentral:rRNA from 1 species